rnacentral:rRNA from 1 species
ACUCCUGCGGGAGGCAGCAGUGGGGAAUAUUGGACAAUGGGCGCAAGCCUGAUCCAGCCAUGCCGCGUGAGUGAUGAAGGCCCUAGGGUUGUAAAGCUCUUUCACCGGAGAAGAUAAUGACGGUAUCCGGAGAAGAAGCCCCGGCUAACUUCGUGCCAGCAGCCGCGGUAAUACGAAGGGGGCUAGCGUUGUUCGGAAUUACUGGGCGUAAAGCGCACGUAGGCGGAUCGAUCAGUCAGGGGUGAAAUCCCAGGGCUCAACCCUGGAACUGCCUUUGAUACUGUCGAUCUGGAGUAUGGAAGAGGUGAGUGGAAUUCCGAGUGUAGAGGUGAAAUUCGUAGAUAUUCGGAGGAACACCAGUGGCGAAGGCGGCUCACUGGUCCAUUACUGACGCUGAGGUGCGAAAGCGUGGGGAGCAAACAGGAUUAGAAACCCUAGUAGUCCCAUGAU